rnacentral:rRNA from 1 species
UACAGAGGUCUCAAGCGUUGUUCGGAUUCAUUGGGCGUAAAGGGUGCGUAGGUGGCGCUGUAAGUCGGGUGUGAAAGUCGGGGGCUCAACCCUCGAAUGCCGGUGGAUACUGUCGGGCUAGAGUGCGGAAGAGGCGAGUGGAAUUCCUGGUGUAGCGGUGAAAUGCGCAGAUAUCAGGAGGAACACCUAUUGCGAAGGCAGCUCGCUGGGACGUAACUGACGCUGAGACGCGAAAGCGUGGGGAGCAAACAGG